rnacentral:rRNA from 1 species
GAUGAACGCUGGCGGCGCGCCUAACACAUGCAAGUCGAACGAUUAAAGCACCUUCGGGUGUGUAUAAAGUGGCGAACGGCUGAGUAACACGUGGGCAACCUGCCCCUUUCAUUGGGAUAGCCACGGGAAACCGUGGAUAAUACCGAAUACUUCGAGACUUCCGCAUGGAAGACUCGAGAAAGCUCCGGCGGAGAGGGAUGGGCCCGCGGCCUGUUAGCUUGUUGGUGGGGUAACGGCCUACCAAGGCAAUGAUGGGUAGCUGGGUUGAGAGACCGACCAGCCAGAUUGGGACUGAGACACGGCCCAGACUCCUACGGGAGGCAGCAGUGGGGAAUCUUGCACAAUGGGCGAAAGCCUGAAGCAGCGACGCCGCGUGCGGGAUGAAGGCCUUCGGGUUGUAAACCGCUUUCAGCAGGGACGAGGCGAAAGUGACGGUACCUGCAGAAGAAGCCCCGGCUAACUACGUG